CGUAAAAAAAAAAUCGAGCAGAGAAUCGAGGGAGAGGUCGAGAGAGCGCAGCAGCGCCGCCGCCGGACGCCGGCCACCGCACGGCCUGGGUUGCUGGGCACCUGGGCCCUGGAUGGUGCCCCGCCUCCUCCGCUGGCUCCGCCCCGCCGCCCGCUCGGUCAGGCGUCAGGGACUCGCUGGCCGUCUACCACGAGUUCGCGACCGGCGACCGUCCCCCCCCCCCCCCCCCCCCCCCCACUUCCUGAAUCGGCAGCUCUGUGAAUCGCCAUAUCUGAGAGGCAGAGGUUGAAGCAGAGUCUGGCUGUCCUUCAACUAGAGCAAAUGGCUAUGUGUUUUAGGUAUAGCAACAAACGAGAGGGGAGGUGAUUGAGAGAUUUGUUGCCAUUCAGCAUGUUCCUGACACGGUAGCUACUUCACUCAAGGAAGGUCGACAGAUAAUUCCUCCUCACUAAGGUGGACGGAUAAUUUCUCGAGCGAAGGGAGGUUCCUUAUGCUCAAGUCCAAGUGACCGCCAGUACCAUCCAAGAUAUCCGACACUUGGAGGCACAAUCCAAGGGACCGAACCAUGGGCAUGGCUCCUGGAGCGAACAUCUAUGGCACCAAUAUAAACCCUUCAAAGCGACACUCUCUUGCGCAAGGGAAUGCACUGGCACUGAGCAUGAACAUUGUCGACCUUUGCAUUCCUUCGGGCUCUUCUCUGAUAGCAAUGCCGAAACCCGUUGGUGAUCGCAGGUGCACAUAACGAAGAACUGGCAGAGUCCCAAGGAUCUGAAUAUCAUCCAAUUCCAGUUCGUAUACAUUUAUGUCCAGGUAGGAGAGGCUGGGAAGCCAUGAAGAGCUGAUCCAUGUUGGCAGUGUCUGAAACUCAAGCUGCAACUCAAGUCUGCGGAGGUGUGGAGGGGGCAACCAGGAGGACACCUUGAUGAUGACCAGAAGAAGGAGAGCACCCUCAGCCGGGUCAGGUUGCACAAUGCUUCCACAUUAUCAUGCAUGCCAUCUUUCGUGAAUACAACUCCAGUCAGCUCUUCGAGGGAUGUCAGAUUCCUAAUCCCCACUGGCACAAUUGCAGGCAGACUAUCUUCGAAGUACAAGCAGACAAGAUUUCUGAGAUAACAAAAACUCUCUGGCAAUUAGCUCAUCAUGAAUGAUCUUUAGACUCUCUAGUUCGUCCAGUUUGCCUAGCAGCUUCACCAAAAUAACAAUUUUCUUGAGAGGAAGACCUGAUGAUGGCCACCAGAAGGAGAGCACCCUCAGAUGGGUCAGGUUGCGCAGCGCUUCCACAUCAUAAUCCACGUUGCCCUCCUCAUCUUCUCCUUUUGUGAAUACUACUCCAGUCAGCUCUUCGAGGGAUGUCAGCUUCGUAAUCUCUACUGGCACAUUUACAGGCAAAUAACCUUCAAA